AAGGAAGCAAAACAACUUAUUUAAAAAAAGAAAAGCAAUGAGCCUAACUCCUUUACAGUUGGUUAAAUAAUUGUUUGGUGGACUAAUAAAUGUGAUGUCUUUGAUUGCAGACAGCCAGAUGGUCUGCUCUGCUGCUCGGUGUGCUCUAUGGGAAACAGAGGUUUGAUUACCUGAAGCCCAUUGCUGAGGAGGAAAGGAGGAAUGAAGAAGCGGAGAAGAUGAUUCGAGAGCAGCAGGAGAGCAUUUAUAAUCGACUGUCAGAAGGUUCUGACACCAUUCUCAAAUGAGCUGUUUAUGGACCAACGAUGAAGUAUUUCAAGCUCAAACAAAACUUUUUUUUUUUGUGAUUUUAAAACCGUAAUGUGGUAAUGUUUUGUAUCUUAAAAUGAUCUCCUGAAAAUAAUUUAUUGUCAAAUAAACAUGCCCAUAGAAAUCAGAA